UAAUGUAGAAUCAAUGGGAGUCCUGAGCU
rnacentral:piRNA from 1 species